rnacentral:rRNA from 1 species
GCUACGGGGGGCAGCAGUGAGGAAUAUUGGUCAAUGGACGAGAGUCUGAACCAGCCAAGUAGCGUGAAGAAUGACUGCACUAUGGGUUGUAAACUUCUUUUAUAAAGGAAUAAAACGAGGCACGUGUGCCUUUUUGCAUGUACUUUAUGAAUAAGGAUCGGCUAACUCCGUGCCAGCAGCCGCGGUAAUACGGAGGAUACGAGCGUUAUCCGGAUUUAUUGGGUUUAAAGGGAGCGUAGAUGGGUUGUUAAGUCAGUUGGGAAAGUUUGCGGCUCAACCGUAAAAUUGCACUUGAUACUGGCAGUCUUGCGUACAGUUGCGGUAGUCGGAAUUCGUGGUGUAGCGGUGAACUGCUUAGAUAUCACGAAGCACCCCGAUUGCGAAGGCAGCUUACUAAACUGUGACUGACAUUGAUGCUCGAAAGUGUGGGUAUCAAACAGGAUUAGAUACCCUAGUAGUC